rnacentral:lncRNA from 1 species
GAGAGAGAGAGAGAUUGAGAAUUGAGGAGGAGGGCAGACCUACCUAGAAAUUCAAUACCUUGUCCAGAGAGAGAGAGAGAUUGAAAUUGAGAAUUGAGGGGAAGGGGAGACCUACCUAGAAAUUAAAUACCUUGUCCAGCACUGGAAGUUCCUAAUACAACUUGUUAGUUCUGCCAGGAACCACCAUGGACAGUUCCCAUGGCACGCCUUUGCUUCAGAGAGAAUCACCACGUUCUUGGGGUAAGUACAUUCUGCACAACCCAUUAACUCCAUGCAAAAGUGACCAUAUUUCUCAUUGUUGAAAGGUGUGAAGUUCUAGGAUAAACAGCUAGAUUUAUCAUCUUUUCAAGUAAAAGGAAUAUUUGAGUCAUGGAAUGCCACUUGCAGUUUCUAAUAAUACAAAUAUACUUGGGAUAAAAACAAGUAUCUUCAAUAAAUAAUCUUUAUCUUUAAUAAAUAAGCAUUUUAGUGAAAUUACAGAGCUUUGACAGCCUAAUAAAGAUACUUCUGUAUCAUCAGAUAUCAGAGAAAUGCCUAAAAGGUGAUCUUGGCAAGGCAGAGAAGAAUUAAAAGAUCUUUGCCAGUGAUCCUGUCUUGGCUGUAUCCACCAGAAUGAAGACAUAAGAUUCAGCCCUCAAACACUAAUCCAAGCUUGUGGAGCUGGCAUGACUUAGUCUAGCAAAGUAAGUGGUCUUCCAAGUCGAGCAUACUGAGUCUGAAUCCUAUUUCUGCCACUCACCAACCAUGUGACCUUGAACAAAUUAAUCUCUCUGAGCAUUGAUUUUCUCACCUGUAAAAUGAGAAUAACAGCCCUUAUUAUUAUGGCUGUGGUGGAGAUUAAAUGAGAUAAUAUUCGUGGCACAUGGUAAGUCCUUAAUAAAGCAUAGCUGUCAUCAAUCAAUCAGUCAUCAGCAACUUCAUCUUCAUCUUCAUCAUCAUGAGCCAAUCUAUAGAAGGAACUAGGGAGCUACAAAGGAAGCUCAAUCAUAAAACAUUCCACAGGCUGAUAGAGGUAAUGUUUGUUUUCACAAAUACAUUUUUAAUGUCACUACAUAUCCUAGAUUUCUGAUUUUUAAAACAUCAUGAUUACUUUCAUCAAUUAACUGACUAGUGAUUGAUUUAAUGCCUUAUUUAAAAGGGUUUAGAAAAUAUGGGUAUUACAGUCCUAAUUGUUUUUCUCAUUAAAUUCAGCAGCAACCAUAGUACCACAAAAAUGAGUGUCUUCAUAAUUGAACUAUUUCCAUUCUCACUGAGAAGUGUCUGAAAUUUGUAAUUUUAUUAACUGAAAUGAGUCUUCAUCCUCAUGCAGAAAGAAAAAGCAUCUGCUCCUAAUAAUAAUGCCAUGAAAAAAUUAUCACAAAAAUCAGACAUUUUGUAUUUCCUCCUUGGAUAAAUUUGCAAAAAAACCUCAUCACUUUGUAGGGUUCUCUUGAGGGUGAAACUUAAAUCCAUCCAAAAAGUGUUGCCUUCUGAACUUAAUUGCUACCAAAUUAUUUUAUUUGCAUAAGCCAAUUUUUACUGGGUGAAGCACAAUUUGUAGGAUGAAGUUUUUCUGAAAGGCAUAAUGGGGAAAAAUUAAUUAUAGUGCUCUAGAGUUCACCCAAAAGCACAGAAAAUACACAUUAAUAAAUGACUUUGUGUGGAUAUCUGGAGCUCAUAGAGGUAUGGCUAUUUCUCUCCCUGAGAUAGGAAUGACUUUUUCCCAGGUACUCUGGAAGCCAUGGUAGCUUUGGUAGACAUAUUACUGAAAUAUAGCCCAAAAGUAGACAGGCACUUUAGGCUUGCCACUUCAUUUCACCAAAAUGCCGUUCUACAUCAGGUCUCUGAAUUGUCGUUUCACUCAGAGUUUAUUAAUCUAAAAUUUGCUUUCUCGCUUGAAGAGAUGAAAAUUAGAGAUGCUUUCCUCAUGAGCUACCCUCUCUUACUAUGAAACCCCAAGAGAGUACUGUUCAUAAAUGAACCAUACAUGAAAGAGGAACUAUAGCUAGAGAACAAAAAUAUGAAGACAUGUCCAAAGAAAGGCAAACUUUAGGAAUUGUAAAUUUAUCAUUUUUAAAACAAAUAAAUCAAUAUUGGGCAAGAACGUUGAGAAACAGAUACUCUUAUCCAUUGUGGGUAAAACUAUAAACUUAAUAUUAACUUUUUGAAAGUUGGUACUGUGUUUCCAAAACUAAGAAUAUGGAAAUCUUAUCAAAGGCAGGUGAAGACCAUGGGGUUUAGAGUUGGAGGCCUGUCUUUAAAUCCCUAUCCAUUACCUGCUAUGUGACUCUAGACAGCUUUCUCAACUUCUCUGAACCUCAGAAUCCUCAUUUAUAAACAUUGGGAUAAUAAUAUCAUCAACUCCUUAGAGCUGUUGUGAAAAUCAAUGGAGAUAAUAUCUGCAAAGUAUUUAUCACAGAGCAUGUUAAUUUUCUAUUGCUACAUAGCACACAAAUACCACAACUUUAGCAGCCUAAAACAAUAAACAUUUCUUAUCUCACAGCAUCUGUGGGUUGGGAGUCUGAACAUGGACCACUGAAAAACGUGAGACAAAUGGCCAUCAUUUAGGAAAUGCAAACUCAAUGUGGGUGAAGCAUACUGUGAAGUGCAAGAGGGUAACUGAACUCCAAAACCAAUAGAAACAAAUCAGAAUUCUUCUGGCUCCCUACUGAUGCUUUCAGACCACAAAACUCAUACGAUUAUCAGAGAGUUGACCUGAGUAUAAUGAUAACAGAAGUGGUAAGCUUAGAAGCAAUAAUAGUAGUAUAAAACAGCUCUUUUCAAGCUCCAGUCAUUUGGCCACACCUGCCUCCUCCUCUCCUUACCUCUGGCAUCUGAUCUCUUUAUUCCAUUCCUUCAUUCCUUGAGGAUAAUGUGAGGUACCAAAGUUCCACCCUCCAAUUUCUGUACCAUUAUUAUCUUUUGCUCCAUCAAGGUCUAAGAAAACUACCAUCAAAUAUUCUGGCUUUACAAAUCCUUUGACUCUCACAACCCACUGCAGCCGUCCUUUACCUAUGGCCAAGCUCUCAAUUUUGACAGCAUCUCAGAAAUCUUAGAUUCCAUCUUCCCCCCGAGCACAGUGUUUGAUCCUUUCUACUCUCUCAAAUUUUCACUUCCAUUUCAUCAGCCUUCUCCCUCAGAAGAGCUUCCAGAGCCUGGAACUCUAUUUUAUCUCCCAUUGCAUCAGAUACCUUCUAUAUCCAUAUCUCUUUUUUUUUUUUUUUUUUGAAUGAGAGAGAAUCUCACUCUGUUGCCCAGGCUGGAGUGCAGUGGCAUGAUCUCAGCUUACUGCAACUUCUGCCUCUCGGGUUCAAGCAAUUCUCCUGCCUCAGCCUCCCAAGUAGCUAGGAUUACAGACGCACAACACCACGCCUG